AAUUUUGGACAAUGGGCGAAAGCCUGAUCCAGCAAUGCCGCGUGCAGGAAGACUGCCCUAGGGGUUGUAAAGUGCUUUUGUACGGGAACAAACCCUUCUACGUGUAGGAGGCUGAGGGUAGCGUAAGAAUAAGGAUCGGCUAACUCCGUUCCAGCAGCCGCGGUAAUACGGAGGAUCCGAGCGCUAUCCGGAAUUAUUGGGUUUAAAUGGUGCGUAGGCGGCACUUUAAGUCAGGGGUGAAAUACAGCGGCUCAACCGUUGCAGUGCCCUUGAUACUGAAGUGCUUGAAUGUGGCCGAAGGAGGCGGAACGGGACAAGUAGCGGUGAAAUGCAUAGAUAUGUCCCAGAACCCCGAUUGCGAAGGCAGCUUCCUAGACCGUUAUUGACGCUGAUGCACGAAAGCGUGGGGAUCGAACA
rnacentral:rRNA from 1 species